CCUACGGGAGGCUGCAGUGAGGAAUAUUGGUCAAUGGGCGGAAGCCUGAACAAGCAAAGUAGCGUGCGGGAUGAAGGCCCUACGGGUCGUAAACCGCUUUUGCACGGGGAAAACACCCUCCCCUUUUGGAGGUCUGCAGGUACCGUGCGAAUAAGGGCCGGCUAAUUCGGUGCCAGCAGCCGCGGUAAUACGGAAGGCCCGAGCGUUAUCCGGAUUCAUUGGGCUUAAGGGGAGCUUAGGCGGGCGUUCAAGUCAGCUGUAAAAUCGCGCGGCUCAACCGCGCCCCGCAGUUGAAACUGGACGCCUUGAGUUCACAACAGGCAGGCGGAAUUCGUGGUGUAGCGGUGAAAUGCAUAGAUAUCACGCAGAACUCCGAUUGCGAAGGCAGCAUACCGGCGCUCAACUGACGCUGAGGCACGAAAGCGUGGGGAUCGAACAGGAUUAGAUACCCGAGUAGUC
rnacentral:rRNA from 1 species